rnacentral:rRNA from 1 species
UACGUAGGGACCAAGCGUUGUUCGGAUUUACUGGGCGUAAAGGGCGCGUAGGCGGCAUGACAAGUCACUUGUGAAAUCUCCGGGCUUAACUCGGAACGGUCAAGUGAUACUGUCGCGCUAGAGUGCGGAAGGGGCAAUCAGAAUUCUUGGUGUAGCGGUGAAAUGCGUAGAUAUCCGGAGGAACACCAAAGGCGAAGGCAGUAUCCUGGAUUGUUUCUGACGCUCAGGUGCGAAAGCUAGGGGAGCGAACGGG